ensembl:snRNA U6 U6 spliceosomal RNA
GUGCUCACUUCAACAGCACAUAUACUAAAAUUGGAAUGAUAGAGAGAUUAUCACGAACCCUGCGCAAAGAUCACAUGCAAAUUCCUGAAGCGUGCCAUAUUUUU